rnacentral:rRNA from 1 species
UACGUAGGGUGCGAGCGUUGUCCGGAAUUAUUGGGCGUAAAGAGCUUGUAGGCGGUUUGUCGCGUCUGCUGUGAAAUUUCGGGGCUCAACCCCGAACUUGCAGUGGGUACGGGCAGACUAGAGUGUGGUAGGGGAGACUGGAAUUCCUGGUGUAGCGGUGAAAUGCGCAGAUAUCAGGAGGAACACCGAUGGCGAAGGCAGGUCUCUGGGCCACUACUGACGCUGGAGAAAGCCGGAAAGCAUGGGGAGCGAACAGG